AAGGUCCUAGCUUAAUUAAAGCACCUGGGUUGCAUUCAGGAGAUGUGGGGUAAUAUCCCGCGGGUCUUA
rnacentral:tRNA from 1 species